ACGUUUUCCACUUUCCACAAUUUCUUCACAAGUUUUACACUUCUGUACGAAACGUCCUAGUGUAAGUAGUAAAAAGUAAUGGAAGUAACAUUUGGAUUUAACAAGCAAUUUAAGCUUUAAUUAGUCAUUGUCUUAUGAUCAACAAACACCACAGCCAUUUCUUAAAAGUCAAACAGUCAUUAUGCAAGCCCUGGAUGAAUUAGAAUGUUGUGGCUUCUUGGUCAGCUGAUUUGUGUUGGCUAUUCUUCGGGUGUUAACAGGUUGUAUUUGAAUUAAAACAAAACUUUAGGCAAUUCACAAAUUGAUGACCAAUGUGUCCACCUGGGUCAUAUUGGUAGAAGAGUGAUGGCACAUCCUAAAACAAUAAACACCAACAUGAUCUGACGAUCUGCUAUGAGACUUUCGGUUUGAAUUCAUAAAGAGUCCCAAGCAAAUACCAAAGUAUUGUCACAUUGAUUAAUGAUUUUGGCAAAUUGGGGGAGAUUUUUGGUUAAGGCCAGAUGCCCUAAAAAUUAUGAUGGUUGUAAACACACGGGAAUAUAUUCCAUAAUUAAUUGUCGGAUAUCACAUUCCGUGAUCGACUUUUGCAAACUAACCACAAAAGAUGUCAUGUAACUACAGUAUAUUUCCCUGUGUCAGAAAUAGAAGACGGAAAGCGAUACUUCGUUUGUGAAGAAAGCCAUUCGCACUUCAUCGCAUUUCAUCGCAUCUGCUCCGUCCCGAAGAUACAAUAUUUAAAUUUGUAUAAAUUAAAGUGCAUAUCUGGGCUCCCUUCUUUUCUGUGGCCCCGUUUCCCCUUGACUCGUAAUAAGCCCGUAGGGGGUCAUGCCCCUACUGUGAUCAGCAGUAAAGGUU
rnacentral:lncRNA from 1 species